GAUGAUGUGCCUGAUUAAAGGGCUACCUUGAUAGGGUAAAUAAAGUAUAAUAUUUUACCAUCAUUA
rnacentral:tRNA from 1 species